rnacentral:rRNA from 1 species
CCUACGGGUGGCAGCAGUGGGGAAUAUUGGACAAUGGGGGGAACCCUGAUCCAGCGACGCCGCGUGAGUGAAGAAGUAUUUCGGUAUGUAAAGCUCUAUCAGCAGGGAAGAAAGACAUGACGGUACCUGGCUAAGAAGCCCCGGCUAACUACGUGCCAGCAGCCGCUGUAAUAGGUAGGGGGCAAGCGUUAUCCGGAUUUACUGGGUGUCAAGGGAGCGUAGACGGCGAUGCAAGUCUGAAGUGAAAGGCGGGGGCACAACCCCCGGACUGCUUUGGAAACUGUAUGGCUGGAGUGCAGGAGAGGUAAGCGGAAUUCCUAGUGUAGCGGUGAAAUGCGUAGAUAUUAGGAGGAACACCAGUGGCGAAGGCGGCUUACUGGACUGUAACUGACGUUGAGGCUCGAAAGCGUGGGGAGCAAACAGGAUUAGAUACCCGUGUAGUC